CACAUGCAGUCGAGCGGUACAGUGGAAGCUUGCUUUCUUGCUGACGAGCGGCGGACGGGUGAGUAAUGUAUGGGGAUCUGCCCGAUAGAGGGGGAUAACUACUGGAAACGGUGGCUAAUACCGCAUGACGUCUACGGACCAAAGCAGGGGCUCUUCGGACCUUGCGCUAUCGGAUGAACCCAUAUGGGAUUAGCUAGUAGGUGAGGUAAUGGCUCACCUAGGCGACGAUCUCUAGCUGGUCUGAGAGGAUGAUCAGCCACACUGGGACUGAGACACGGCCCAGACUCCUACGGGAGGCAGCAGUGGGGAAUAUUGCACAAUGGGCGCAAGCCUGAUGCAGCCAUGCCGCGUGUAUGAAGAAGGCCUUAGGGUGUAAAGUACUUUCAGCGGGAGAGGUGUUAAGAUUAAUACUCUUAGCAUGACGUACCGCAGAGAGCACGCUACUCGUGCAGCAGCGCGUAUACGAGGGGCAGCGUAUCGAUACUGGCGUAAGCGCACGCGGCGUCAUAGUCAGAUGUGAACCCCAAGCUACUGAAUGCUUCUAAACUGU
rnacentral:rRNA from 1 species